AAAAAAAUUUGAUUUUCGUUUUGUGUUUGAUCUUAUUCUCUUGGUUAUCCAUAUUUGGAAAUUCAAAAAAAAUCAUUCAUUACUGAUGAGCUUGACAGUUUGAACUUGAGGGGAAGUGAAUUGAGGUCUACUAAAUGUUCAUGAGGUUCGAUUUCGUCAACUCUGUUUCUAUUGUUGUUCUGCUGCUUUGCUAUUGAACAUCGCUAGGAUUUGGAGUCAAGGGUUGUAUUGUCGAGUUUAAAAUCAUUAUAAAAGAUUUGCAGCUUCAGGUUUAAUUUUCCUCUCUUUAUUUCUAUGUGACUCUAUUUUGUUUAAAUGUUCUUGAGCCAUGAAUUUCUGUCUAGAGUGCUCUGUUUUGUACAGUGAUCGAACCUCCUGUUGAACGAAUCUCUCCUCAUUGGAGGGGUCGGAUUGAACGCUUAUAAUAAAUAAGAGUAGAUUUGAGCAGGUGUCUUCCAUUCCCUGUAUGAUUGUGAGUGUUAGUCAGGCUCGAAGUAUAUUCUGAGUUAAGAUUUCAUUGCGUUCAGUUGAACGAUGUAUUGAGUUUCUUUUGCUGAUUCUCUUUGUAAUAUUCUCUAAUGUUCGUGAUGAUUUGCUUGAGCCAUAAGUUCAGGGAGUUAAUUGGUAGUUUUAUAGAUGUUAUACUAGGAAUGUGUGGUCGACCUAGAGUAGUUUUCACUGUUAGCUAUGGUGCUCAGAUAGAGGAUCCAGCACACAACUAGUCGAUAGUUGUGCUAAGGCUGACCUCAAAUCAAUUGAAUCGAAUAUCCUAACAGUAGAGUUGCUGGAAGUCUUCUAUGUGUUAAUUGUUAAAUUGCAGUUUUUUACAUGUUUUAGUUAACUGUAUUUCAAAUCUUAUUUCAGUUUUGUCAUGGUUAUUAUGUUUGUGUUGGUUCAUUAGUAGAGCCAGUGCAUAUGUUGAAGGGUUUUUGUCUAAUGUGAGUCCAGCUAGGUUGUUCUCUGAAUCGGGAUCUUUGGUUUUUGUCUCUACAGACUUGAUCUCAGUAUACUCUACUAAGAGUUUUGAAAUGAAACUAUUAGCCUAAAAGUUUAACAGAUGUGAGGUUUGUUGGGUGCCUUAACUAGAUAGACUAAGGUUUACUUGAUCCAACAUUCUGAGUUAGUAUCUAAGCCUGAAAGAUAGCAUGUUUACUUGAAUCGACUUCUGAGUUAGUCUGGGAUCACUUUGCUAAAAAUCUGCCUUGUUUUACACCAUUUGCCUCACUUACCCAAUUGCUUGCUCCUUGAAAUUGUUGUGUAUCUUGGUAUUGAUCGUAUCCAGUUAGGAGAAAAAGGAAAUGUUGGUCAGUUUCGAACUCAAAAGUUAAGAGGCCCGACAACUACAGAUUGGCCAGAACUUGGUGCAAUUUCGAACGAACUUGUGUAUCAUUCUAGUUUUCCGCCUUAAGUUUGGGAAAAUAACUUGUGAUUUUAUCCCUACUCUAUGAACUUGAGAAAACAUUUGAUGGAAAUGGGUUGAAAGCAUGUGAAGUUUCUUUUUCAGAAUUAAUCAAAAGUGUUGGGAUGUUAUAGCUAUUAUUUUGAUCCGUUUCAUAUAACGCAUCUUUGUAAUUUGAUGAUAAUUGCUUUGGAUCUGUUGUAACUAUGAACCAACUUGAGGAAGUAGUUAGUAUGAACGGACCCUCAUUGUUUUGCAAUUGAUCUCUUUUUAACUGGAAAUCUGUGGCUAUAUCAUUAAAUGUAAGAGUAAUAGUUAUGUGUGCUAUAGAAUUCUACAUGUUGGGAUGGAAAGAGGCAAUGUUGAUUCAUUUGUGUACUGGGGAGUACUCGAACUAAAUGUAGGUUUCUUCUUGCUAGCUGUUAAAAUCGUUACAUGUACGUAGUUAAACUUGUGAUCCUAAUAGCAUGAUCGAUCUGUUGUCCAUUUUGUUCCAUAGAGUGAUUGGUGAUCAAGAUCUUGCAAAUUUCUUUGAGCCGUUUGGUAGGAUCUUGAGUACCAAUGUUUUGUUGGUAAAGCUACUGGUGUUAGCAAAUGUUUGAGGCUUUGCGGACAAAUUCUCAUGAUUUCUUUUAUGCUUGUUAUCGGCAACUGAAUGCAUCUAAGAUGUAGUGGUAAUUUUAAAUUUUCAACCCAAGUGAGAGAGCUUGCUGUUUUUCACCCUUUUCUCUUGGGUAACACUGAAGAUUUAAAAUACCUUAGGUAGUAAGAAGUUGAAGUUUCAGCCUAAAGGUACAACAAACAGAAUAAGACACUAUUGAUAUCAAAAGGGAAGCAGUAUGGUCAUAGUCUCUUUUAAUAAAUUAAGGCGUGCCAAGUCAAAUAAAAUUUCAAUUGCAUGGCCCUCGCAUUAAUUAAUCUUUAAUUUGUCCUUAGAUUCCGAGCCGUACCAUUUAACAAAUGAGAAGUUUUAGGUGCGUGUUUAAUAAUAUUACUUUCUUAAAUUCGGAUGCGCAUUUAUGUGACCCAAAUUCAAAUCUCAACAAUGUUAAAAUAUGUCAAAAAAUCACGGGUGCAUUUAUGUGACGUGGUUCGAGACGUGUUUUAACGGCGUUGCAAUUCUCUUUAAAAUUAAUAAUAAAGCGAUUAAAAAGCUUAAAUUUGCACAUAGGUUCAUAAUUUGUAAAAUCAGAUAAUUUAAGCCUACUAUGAAGUUGAGUGACUGGGCUAGAACCACGAAACCCGGGAAUGCCUAACACCUUCUCCCGGGUUAACAGAAUUCCUUACUUGAAUUUCUGAUUUACGGAUUAUUAAACAGAGUCAUUCUUUUUCUCGAUUCGGGAUUCUAAAUCGGUGAAUUGGGACACCAUAAAUAUCCCAAGUGGUGACUCUGAAUCUUUAAUAAUAAUCUCGUUUUGAUUGUCCUUUAAUUGGAAAAACUCAUUUACACCCUCCCGGGUGUAGGUAAAAAGGAGGUAUGACAAUAGAUUUUGACCUAUACAGUUAGUCCCCCACUUGUUGAUGUCAACCCUAGACGACCUUGAUGAGCAGACUCUAUUUUUUAUGGUUGAGAGUUUAGGCAAGCAGGUCGAGUAGUAUCAUUUCAGACUGGGUGGAAACGUGGCCUUCUAUGAGCCGCAACUUGGGGUCACAUCAUUUCACACUGACUUCAUGUCAUCAUACAUCAUUAUUACGCAUUUUACUGAUACCUUGCAUCAUUUCUUGUGCCUUUAUCACUUCGAUUCCUGGGCUGGGUAACAAUAUUUAAUUUCCUUGAUAUUAAUGCCCGAACUCCAAUAAAUUGGUCUACAAAAUCAUUUGCCUUAUUCUUCAAAACCUUAGUAUUGGACAUACCUUCUUCUUCCUUCUUCAUUCAGGAUCCUUGUUCUUUGGAUCUUACUUCAAUAUUUUUUCUUUCAUUGAUUCUGGUACUCCUGCUACUCUUGAUUCUUUUGUGUUUACACCUCCUCUUAUUCAUAAACUAAUAUGAUGAAUGUAUCAUCCAGUUCUUAGGGGAGAGUUCCUAACCCUGUUCCCUUGGUAGUGCACAUUCCUCCCCGUGACGAUGGGGUUUACAUUGUUGCUGAGGAUGAUGGUUUUCCUACAGUGGAGGAAAUAGUUCCCCGAGUUUAGAAGGCUAUGUCUGAUUUAUCAAAGAUGCCCGAGGAAGACUUAGAGAUCUCAGAGUAGUUGAUAAAAGAGGUGGGCCUUGCCGAAUUUAAGGAUAGAUUAAAAAUUCCCACUAAUAUAGACCUAGUUCCUCCAUGGCAUGAGGUGGUGCAGAUACACCACCCUAGGUACUAUGCUUUCUACGCAUACCCUUUCCAUGUCGGUUAUUUUUUCUCUAUCCUCCCAUUGGCUGAGGAGUUCUAACAGUAUCACCGCGUCCACCUGACCCAACUUUCUCCCUACAUUUACAAACUCACCCACAUGAUUUUGAAGUAUGCGAAGUUGCCCAGAGUCGAGGUGAUCGUUUGCCACAAAUGCACCUCUUUUCCCCUAGCUUUCACAGGGGGACAAUGCUUCAUCUUCGCCACCGGGACAAUAAAUGCCUAGUGGAGAAGAUGGAGACAAGGCAAAACGCAAAUUUUGGAUCAAUUACUUCUAUGUCAAGACUUGGGACAUGUCCAAUGCAUAUGGGUUCCUCGAGGUUUGAAACUACGCUCAUAAGUAUCCCUCUCCCUCUUUUUCUCUUUCUUUUUGUAUUACGCGUUACUUUUAAUUUCUGUUAUGUUGACAUUUCAUCUUCUCUUCAUGUAGCCAAGGUUUCACCCCCUUUGGCCGAGGAUAUUCACGAUUGGGUAAUUGGAUCCUCCCUCAUACAGUGGGGAUUCGCAAAUGGCUGGACUUUCUCAAGAAGCUCGGGCCUUCUCCUUUUGUGACCA
rnacentral:lncRNA from 1 species